ACCCGAGGUGUCCUUCCUACCAGGCUUGGGACUUUCCUGCACUCUUCCAUGUCCUCGAACACCUGUCAAGAUGGUAUGGGAAGAUAGUGAUCCUGAGGGAUAUGUUAUCUCCACCUUUUGAAGCUGUUCAAUAUUGCAUGACUAAGAGCGAGUUUGGUCUAAAAAUCACAUCCACUGACUUCCAGGUAAUCAUCUGAAAUUAUGACCAUCAGCCUCUGACACAUACUUUCUGUAAGUUCAUUGCUGACUGAUCAUGCACAUGCUCCUGGCAGC
rnacentral:lncRNA from 1 species